UACGGGGGGGGCCAGCGUUGUUCGGAAUUACUGGGCGUAAAGCGCACGUAGGCGGAUUUGUAAGUCAGGGGUGAAAUCCCGGGGCUCAACCUCGGAACUGCCUUUGAUACUGCAAAUCUCGAGUCCGGAAGAGGUGAGUGGAAUUCCUAGUGUAGAGGUGAAAUUCGUAGAUAUUAGGAAGAACACCAGUGGCGAAGGCGGCUCACUGGUCCGGUACUGACGCUGAGGUGCGAAAGCGUGGGGAGCAAACAGG
rnacentral:rRNA from 1 species